AGCCAUGGAUGCAUCAUGCAGGACCAAUCUGUGUAGAGUGGAGAAGAAAGCUCAUCAGCUAACAUAAAAAAUGGAGGAACUCGUAUGGCGUAUGGGGCCUACAUGUAGUAACGUAUAUCCACUCUGAAUCUAACAUAUAAAGAUCAAAGUCUCCUCACCAUGACUCGCUGGAGUUAUGUAUGUACGUAGCGGCUGCCGCUCCAUGGCCACCAGAUCCCUACCGCUGCAGCAUCAAUUCCUUGUCACCAUGAUCAAGGGUACAUAGCAGCAGCAUACAUAAGGAUAUGUACAUAUCAUGAAGCAAUUGUAAUCAGCAAGCAGCAGCCUUCUCUGUGUUCUCUGUAUAGAUGUGUAGUAACCAAGCAGCAGCAUGAACAAAAUUGCAGCAGCGGGCUGCUGCUCUCCUCUCUGAUCUCUCUCUAUAUGCAAUAGUAGUAUAGCAGAACAUCAAAAUUAGCUACCGCAGAGCAAUCUCGAAAAAAUAGUAGGAAUAUAAUUAAAAAGAUUCUAAUGUGUUUAUUUUGGCAUAUCGGAACAUUCAGUGUGUAUAUCUGAGUUCUACACCAGCUAUAAUGGCUGCCAAUCUUGGUUAAGUACUGAUCAAGUAGCACUCGGCUGAACAAAAGCAAUAAACUUCAGUCUUUAUGUCCAGAGAAAAUUAGGAAUAAUAGUGAGCAAAGCAUAUGAACAUAUCUCAUUAUUCAAAACUUAAGUUAACAGAUCUACAAUGUGCAUCCUUGUGCACAACCCAUCUCUAAGAAAUUGUUUGGAACAUCAUUGAUAGAAAUUUAUUAGCAGAAUUUAAGCUAUAACAUUGUAGGCAAUACAAAGGAAUUCAAAUGUAAGCUGAAUCUUCCUUGAACUUUCAGGCCUGGCCACUCCGACCCAUUAGUCAUUAGUUUAAAGUUCAAAACUGAUGAUAGAAUUGGACGAUGGCGUACCUUGGAUGGAGCACAUGCCGACAGUGUUUCGGCAAACUAAGUGGAGCAGCGAGAUUGAAAGCUUCGGGCGCAACUGGAACUGAUGCCAGACGGUGUACAGGAGGAGUUUACCUGAGCCGAUUGCACUCAUCCCUUGUCCCGCACUUCCAUCUUGUUGAGUCAUCACAGCUACUGUUCUC
rnacentral:lncRNA from 1 species